rnacentral:lncRNA from 1 species
AAGGAAUCUUCAUUUUAUUCAAGUUAAUCUUAUAUGAAGCAUCAUGAAAUAGAAUGAAAAUGGUCAAAGCUCAUCUGAUUGCAACAGAAUUCAGGCCAAGAGCCACCAAAGAACUGAUGUCUGCCAAAACCCAUAUGAAGGAUCUUGCAUACAGGUUCACAAGCCUCAUUUGAGCUUUGAGGUGUCAGACUCACCAGCUAACAGUUUGGGCGCAAUCUCUUAGUUUCCAGAGCCAGAAGUUCUCACGUAAGCUACUCCAAGAAUUUCAAUCUUGACCCACAGAAACUGCUGGCAUGAAGUGGCUCAAUCUCAGCUCACUGCAACCUCCACCUCAAGGAUUGAAGCGAUUCUCAUGCCUCAGACUCCCCAGUAGCUGGGGUUACAGGUCAAAAACUACUACCGCAAUGAGUGGGAAGUCAGAUGAUUAAUGUCUGCUGUUUACACAGAAACUUGCAGAGAUUUACAGCAAGAGCAUAAGUAUAUCAAGAUGACAAUAACAACAAUGUUUAACAUCUAGAAGCCACUUCCAACAAAACCAUGUGGAAGGCGGGAGCAAAUUGCAUAGAUGUGGACAAUGAGAUUUGGAGAGUUUACGUAACUUGCUAAAGGUCAUGCACCCGGAAAACUUGACAAAAGGACUGUAUAGUUAAUAACAAUGCUGCCUCAGAAUCAGUUUCCUUCCAUGUUAAUUUAUUAUUUUUCCUUCAUUUUCACACCUAGCAACGGCAGGUGGCGUCCUUGUGGUGGUGCACCUCUCUAACACUUCUUUCAUCUCCACAUUUUUCAUUAACCACAGCAAGGAAUGAUUCUGUGUUUCGUCAUUCAUGUGAUUAAAUUGUAGCCACCUGGAUAACCUAGGAUCUCUCUUCAUCUCAAGAUGCUUAAAAACAAGCAUGACCUGGGACAUGAAAUUCUUUGCAUUGUUAUAGAAAUGACAAUUCUGCUUAAUCAAAAAUACAAUAAAAAUAUUUUUAAAAUUGUCUUGUAUUUCUCCAUGAUUUUUAAAUUUUGACUAGAAAUACUUUAUUGUACAG